AAGAACAUGAAUCGAAAGAUAAGCUAGGAAGGUAACAAACCCUAAAUGAAGAAAGCAGCCUCCCUCUUCGCUUCCUUUCACGCCGUUUGCCUACGGUCGCCACCGUCACUGUUGCAGCACGUCCGCGGUGCCAUCAACCAUACUGGACACAGCGGUUCGACCCUUUCACGCGCGAGAGAGAGGUUUCGCCGUCCACGUCGAUGCGCCCUCCACCAUCACGAACAAGGCUCGUCGCCCUUGGUGCCAACCGCUCACGCAGACGCCGCUGCAACCUCCAACCACUGUAACCGCCGCGAGUUCGUCAUCCUCUUCCUUCUCAUAGCAACCCCCACAUCAACCACGACUUAUUGUUUCACGCGAGCCUCAAUCAGAACCUGCAUUCUCCACCCUGCCACCCAAAAAACAUAUAUACCCAAAUCACAGAAACAGAGAGAGACGAGUAACACAGCGGCACCAUCCUCCAUUCUUCUCGCGCCUCCCAGCGUCGCAACAGCGCAGCCUCUCAGCGGGGAAGAAGGUCAAGGGUGAAUCUUGACGAAGAUAUGGUCUAACGGCAGUUCCCCAUUACCACAAAGAUGACAAUUUGAUGGAAUUUGGAGUGACACCUAUCUGGUGACUGCAACGAACCAUCUUCUUCACUGCAAGAGUGAAUGAAAUAAGAACAUCUUUACGAGCUUGCUGCCAAUGGUGAAUGAAAAAUUAGCACUGCAUUGCUUCUUCCCUACCGGUAAUCACUUUUUGUGUCUUGUAACCUUAGAAGAUAUCAUUGUUGUUUGCAACACCACUGUUCUAUGUUGGAUAGGUGUGAAAAAAGGUGAGGAACAUCCAAGGGAAAGGAGUUCGGCCUUGGUUAUAGUUAAAUGAUGAUGGACAUUGAGGUUCUGUUUGAUGGGUUAUGUUUUGGUGGAGAAAAAAAUAUGACUGUGAAGAUUAUAAAGAUACUGAUGCAGGGAUUGAAUAUGGAAGAUAGAAAUGGAAAUUGUUCUUCUGAGGAGAUGAUAAAUCUGAUAAUGGCUUGAGUUUUUCGAUGGUUGGUAGGUGAAGGGAAGGUUUGGAUGGUCAUUGACUAUUGCUUGAAGAAGAUGAAUGGUACAUUGGUGAAGAUGGCCGCUGUUAGAAUGAUGAAGGUGAACUUAACAUAUCUGUCAUGAAGCUCUAUUGGGAGAACAAUUGAGGAGAAAUUUCGAAUCUGAGGUAGAGGAUGAAGGUCCUGGUGUGCCAAUGGAGGAUGGGAGACAAUAUUGGAAUGGGUUGUAGGAAUGGACAAUUGUGAUCUGAGAGUAAAAUGUUUCCCCAAGGUUACGUGAGUGAUGGUUUUCCCAAAUUGCGAAAGGCCUCGGGAGUAGGGGAACAUUCCCCUUUUUAAGUGAAGAAAUCAUGAAGAAACCCCCUCUGUUUUAUUUUUAAUCAGAUCGGUAUCAGGAGAAAGAUGAUCCUCCUUCCCCUCCCUCCCUGGUGACUUCAGAGAUCCUCUGAUAUAGUGAGUCUCAAAGAUCUAUAUCGCUGUCGGUGAGUGUCUGGCAAGUGUUUAAUUCUUCAUUACCAGCUAGGAGCAACUGAGAAAAAGAAAGUGAUUGCCAGAUAGGAGCAAUUGAGAAAGAAAAGAGUGACGGGUAGUAUGAAGCUUCCUAGUUCAGUUUUUCCUCUAUGGUUUCUAUUCGAGAAACUAUUCCCCCACGGCCUAGAUAUAGAUUAUUCCUGAAUGUUGUCCUUUCUCCAGCUUUGACAUCCCUUUGAGACUCCUUCCACAUCUCUUGCAAUCUCCAUUGCUCUCAUUAAAUCUUUGGGAUUGUGUGGCUUGUCCAAUUAACUUUUCAAAUUCUUGAAUAUAGUCCUCCACUUCUCCCCACUUCUCCUUUUUGUCUAACCGCGAUCAACUUCUCAAACACCGUUGCCCUAUCCAUUCCUCCUAACCUCCUUAUCAAGGCUUCUAUCAAAUCUUCCCACAUUGAAUCAUUGGUUUUCUUCCUCCAAAAUUAGAAUCAAUGACUGACCCUUUCUUCCAUACUCAUGAAAGCUAAUUUCUUCUCUAGGUGUAACUUCCUGACUUCCUGGACUUCAAAGAAUUUUCCAGUCCUAUAAAUCCAUUCGAUAGGAUCCCCUCCUUCGAUUGAGGGCAAUUCCACCUUUUUCAUCCACCGUUGGUUUUCUCUUUUAUCUUCCUUCCAUUCUUCAUCUAUCUCUUUCCUUCUUCCUACUUUAUCACCAUUUACUGAAUCUUUGCACCCUCUAGACCCCUUCUCAAUAUUCUUAAGUCUGCUCAUGACAUCCUCCAUCAUUUCACUAGUCUUUGAAAGUUGUCUCUGGACUCUUCUCUCGUCUCCUCCAUUGUCCUCUUCAACGUGCUCAUUCCACCCUCCAUGACUUUCUCUCGGUGUUUUUGGAUUUGGUAGGUCAAACUAAUUUGUUAGGUUUCUUAUGAGUAAGAAACCAUUCUAUAGAUUAAAUAUAAAGAUGAAACACUCAAAACUGACAAUUCAACUUAAGUUCACAAUAACAUUAAUGGAAAACGUAAUUAAGAGAACAUUUAACAACAUCCAAGGGAAAUAAAUCCCAAAUAAAUCCCUGCAUACAGGAUAAACCUUAUCUAAACUUAUGAAAAUAUCACACACCCCAGGAGGAACCGUUUCCCCCUAAAAGAACCUUUAAAUCAUAAUAACUACCUUACUAAACGUUUGACUUCUUUGUAGCAUACACCUUUAAAGUCCUAUCAUAUAUUUUCAGUCAGGUAAUGUCCUUUUAAGUAAUGUCUUAUUUAGUAAUGUCCUCUUUAGUAAAUUCCUGUACCUUGUAACCUUGUUACUUACUUUCUUGAUCGAUAAAUAUUUCUGGUUUACAUUCUUCAAUUCAAUAUCUUUGUUGGUAUUGAAAAAUAUCUUUUGUUGGAAAUAAACACUUUCUUGAUUACAAGAAGAGAAAGAUGAGGUCUUGACACACCAAACUAAAAUUCACACAACAAAUACACUUUCUAACUUUCUAACAGAGCCCCUCCUCUUUCUAUUUUCUUUUACUUCACGGUGAUUCAAACUUGCAAUCUUCUCGUGGUUUUUUCUCCCUAUUUUUCACAGACUUUGAUUUUGCUCUGCUCCAUGGUGGUGUGUUAUUUGCUACACACAGCCCCUACGUUUAUAAUAGAGUAAAACACAAAAGUCCAAAAUGUUGGUGAUAAAAUGGUGGGCACAAGAAUACAAACAUGGUGGAGAUAUUGGAGAAGGCACACAAACAUAUUUUACUAAAGUGGAAGACCCAUGAUGGCACUAAAACUGUUGACGGAGCCCAUUUCUCUUUUAACUUUAUUUCCUAAAACUCAAGGACAUCAUGGUGGUCACCCCUUACAUCUUAACAAUCAGAAGAUACACAUAUCAACCAUUAAAUAUAUGGUUUUCUUUAUCCCAUUAUCUAUAUUUUAGAUACCUUUUGGCAAUUUCACUUAUUGUAAUUUUUUAACUAAUUUGAUCUUUUUCACAAUAAUUAGAUAAAGGAAUUAGGAUCAAAAGUUAGUAACAUUCCUGUCAAGAAUUGUGAAAGCAUGUUCGUGUGAACAAAAGCGGGGCAAUUGAAAAUGAAAAAAUUCAACAAGUGAUAUGUUUUCAUAUUAUAUUUGUGUGCAUGAAAUGAGAAUAAAUGUGAUAUGUUUGGUUGUUGUUUAGGUGAUAUUGUAACAAACUAAUUCAGAAGAGAUUAGUAAUGAUCACUUCGACAUUUUGAGUCAAGUUUUAUGCCUCCCAGAGUAUCAGGUUGUGUUAGGGGAAUGAGAUUUGAAGUCGGUCACAUAGAUUAAAUUGACUGCUCAAGUGAAAGACAUGUCCGAAAGAAUGACACGGAUGAAAAAUGAGAUGAUUUCACUUCAUAAAAUUGGCACACCAAAUAGUUUUCCUGAGGUAACUAACUAUUACUUUCAUUAUUACUUUAAUUUGCUUACCUUAAAUUUUCAUAGGUUCAUAUCUAGUUACAUUGGAGAUUCUCUUAUAAUUAUGUUUUCUAUAUUAGAAGUAAUGUUAGUGUAAUUUGUUUACUUUAAAAGCUUCUUAUAUUUGGUCACUUUAAAUAAUUUAUCUUAUAAUUAUAUUGUAUAAUGUACAAGUCUCUAAGUAGUAAAUUGUUUGUAUUAUCAUCAUUAUUUUGUUUGGUUGUGCAUAGAAAAUUGCAUAAUUUUAAGACCGAUACAUUACAUGGUAGACUUUUACCUAAAGAACAUGUCAAAGUUUGUAUAGAUAUUUCUUUGAAGUCAAAUGUAUCCUUGUCCAUGCCUAUUGUUGAUGAUGACAAUAGAACAAGCAAUAGAUACAUUUGUGACAUGACCAAUUAAUUUCAUAAAGGUUGUUGAUGAGAUAUGUAUAUAGAAUUGUAUUCAUUCAUAAUUAUGAAUAUAUUUUAUCUAUUUCCUAUCAUGUUUAAUUGAUAAUGUUUAGAAUUCUACUCAACCUAAAAAAGAUGAAUAAUACAAAUGAAAGUGUAGCACAUAAGAAGAAAUGUUAAUGGAAAAUGACCAUUCAACAUAUUCUCGUAAAUUGUGUCAUCUAAACUUUUGUAAUAGUGCAAUUGCCUCACUUCAUACAUAAAACUAAAGCUGUCAGAGUCACUACGUCCUAUACAAAUGAACAAAAUUAUGUUUGGAGUAAAUAAUCAUAAAGAAAUUGUUAAUGCAAAAAUGAUUGAAGAAGUUACUAAUUAUGCAUGGUUAGAUGCAAUUAGAAUUUAUAUAUAUAUAUAUCUAUUGUCACUGACUCAAGAUAAUAAAUUAUCUCCUGUUGUACCUAUAUAUAUAUAUAUAUAUAUAUAGAAAUUGUAGUUGCACCAAGCCAUGUAUAGUUAGUAACUUCUUCAAUAAUUUCUGCAUUAACUAUUUCUUUAUGACUAUCUAGUCCAAUUAUGUUUUGUCCAUUUGUAUUAGAUGAAGUGACUCUAAUGGUUUUAGUUUUAUGAAUGAAGAAAGACAAUUGCACCAUUAAGGAAGAUUGGGAUGAAACAGUUUACGAGGAGUAUGUUGAAUGAUCAUUUUUUCUUAACAUUUCUUUUUAGGUGUGACACGUUCAUUUGUAUUGUUCAUCCUUCUCUUUUUAGGUUGAGUAAAAUUCUAAAACAUCAUCAAUCAAACAAGUUAGGAAAUAUAUAAAAUAUGUUCAUAAAUAUGAAUGAAUACAAUUCCAUAAACAUAACUCAUUAAACAACCUGAUUUGACAUGCCACAAAUGUACCUAUUGCUUGUUCUAUUGUUAUCAUGUCAUCAUCAACGAUAAGUAUAGGUAAGGAUACAUUUUGGCUCCAAAGUAUUAUCUAUACUAACUUUGACAUAUCCCUUAGGUAGAGGUCUACCAUGUAUUGUAUCACUUUUAAAAUUAUGUAAUUUUCUAUGGGCAGCCAAGCAAAUGGAUGGUGAUAAUACAAACAAUUUACAACUUGAGAAUCCUUACACUAUAAAAUAUAAUUAUAAGAAAUUAUAUAACGUGACCAUAUAUAGAGAGCUUUUAAAGUAAACAAACUACAUUGACAUUACUCGUAAUAUAAUAAACAUAAUUAUAAGACAAUCUUCAAUGUUACUAAAUAUACCUAUGAAAGUUUAAAGUAAUGUAGAUAAGUUAGUUACCUCGGUAAAACUCUUUGAUGCCAAUGUGCAACUCUCUUGGCCACUAUUAAUAUUAGCUUCUUUAGUAGUAUUUGGUGUGCCAAUUUUUUGAAGCGAAAUCAUCUCAUUUUCCAUUUGUGUUAUUCUUUCCGACGUGUCUUUCACUUGAGUAGUUAAUUUAUCAUGUUCAUGGAGUGUAUGACGCUUUUUGGACGGGAAAUAAUAUAUGUGAUCGACUUCAAAUCCCAUUACCCUAACCUGACCUGAUACUCUGGGAGGGAGACAUAAAGUUUGACUCAAAAUGUCGGAGUAAUCAUUAUCAUCUCUUCUGAAUUAGUUUGUGAUAAUAUCACCUAAAUAGUAACCAAACAUAUCACAUUUAUUUUCAUUUCAUGUACACAAAUAUAAUAUGAAAACAUUAUUUACACAUUUGUUCCAAACUUAAUUUCUUCAUUUUCAAUUGUCCUGCUUUUGUUCACACGAGCAUGCGUUCACACUUUUGACCGGGAAUGUUAUUAACAUUUGAUCCCAAUUUCUUUAUCUAGUUAUUGUGAAAAAGAUCAAAUUAGUUAGAAAAUUACAAUAAUUGAAAUUGACAAAAUUUGUAGUUUGUCACGUAACAAUUUUCUAAAAUAUGAAUAAUGAGAUAAAGAAAAUCAUAUUUUUGAUUGUUGAUAGGUGUAUCUUUUGAAUAUUAAGAUGUAAGGGAAGUUACCACCAUGAUGUCUUUGAGUUUGUUGUGAGCACUUAAUGUUGUUGAUGUUGGAAUUUUAUUCUCAUGCACUGAGUUGAACAUAUAUCUUUGUAACUGCCAUGCAAAUACCAUGAAUGUUGCUGUUGUUAUAUGAUGAGGAAAUGUCCAUGUUAUGUUGUUGUGUUGAGCAAAUUUUAGUGGUGAUACAAGCCAACCGUGUACGAUAAUUUUGUGAUUUGAAUUUUGUUUUUGGUCUAGAGGUUAUGUUGGAAAUUUAUAAGUGUGAAGUAGCUAGCUGUUAUAUAUGCACGGUAACCAUCUUGUGUAGGUGAGAAACUUAAUACGUGUGUAUUAGUUGUUGAAUGGGGAAAAGUGAACUUUGGAGGAACCACGAUGGAGUAACGAACGAUAAACCCUCCAAAGGAGUUCGAGGUAUUAGUUUGGGAUGUAUAUUGAAUUAGAAGCCACUUGGAAGUUAGUUGGUGUAGUAAAUUUUAAAGUAUGUUUUUAACUUGGCUUUGUGCAUUAGCGUUUUUCUUCCUUUUUUUUGGCUAAAUGCUGCUACUUUGUGUUUUAGCACUUGGUAUAGGUCGAAUUCGGUGAGGAAUUGUAGUAGGUGCUGGCUUGAAACGUGAGCUAAGAUAGUAUAGUCUUGAAGUUGAUAAAUCAAUAUAUUAUGCUUGGAUAGUUUGUGAUGCAGCAUCAGAUUCUGAUCUGAUGUUUUGGAGCUGCUGUUUGGACAAUGUUUCAGUGCAGAUGUUGGCCGUAAGAUUCCUUCAUCUAACAAGCUGCUAGACCUUUUAUGGAGUGUUUUUUUACAUUAGAGAUGCUACCUUAUUGGACCAAGCUAUUUUGAUUGGAUAUUAUUUGGUUUCUUUGACUUUAGAAGAUGUAUACCUAGGAGUUUUUUUUGGGAGUUCCGAUGUUUUGGCAGAAUCAUGGACCUGGUUUUUCAUUUUUAGAAAAGGAAUGGAAAGAGAUAAACUUAAGUGGUAUAGAAUUAAGAGUAAAAUAGAUGCUAUUGGAAUUUUCGCUGGGUGCAGAAAUGAAAAGUUAGUAGUGGACCUCCUCAUGUUUCUUUCAUGUUCAGUAUUUUAGUGCAGCCUAAAUGGGAACAUAUGUUGGACUCCUUUAUGAAUGUUAUUUUGGUGUAGUGUGAGGAAAUUUUCCAGCAAAGUCACAUAAGUGUCAUGAUACAAAAUAUUGGUUAUUCAAAUGGUUUAAGUCUGGAUAAUAUUUCCUUAGAAACAUGAGAAACUAUUGAGAUUUAGCUAAGGUCUUAGUUGCCGAAUGACUAGUGGUUGCUGGAUUAAAUUUAACUUGAGAGUGUGGCAUUUCAUGGCAGUUUAGUCAGCCUUGAUAGGGUGAGAGUGUUUUUCUUUUUUUGGAGGAAACCAAUUUCCCAUAAGUAAGAAUGCUGGUCUAAUAUUAUCUAGCGAUAAAAGUGGCUGUUUGGAAAGGCUUAUCAUUUGUGUUAUGCCUGGUCCGUGAGGUUAUAAUCCACUGGUUUUGUUUUUAAUAUGAAGGAACUUUGUGAAUUAGAUCUGCUUAAAUUGGAGUGGGAUGUUUUUAUUCUUAAGGAAACAGUUCAAUAGUAUAUCGAAGUAAUUCUUGUUCCAAUAUAUAUAUAUGCGAAUAUAUAUUUCAUUUAUAUUUUACUUAUCAGAACAACGAAGAGUAAAUCAUUAUUAAGCCUUAUAUAAUUUUUAAUUAAGCAAGUAUAAUUCAACACAUAAUUGGUCCAUAUAUGUUCUUAGCAUACUACUGAUUUAGUAACAUCAAGCAUCACCAUUACACUCUCGAUUCUUUCAGUAUGGCUUCAAACAAUAUUGCAGAGAAAUCAUACCUAAUAUCUUGCACCACUUAAAUACCAUAACAAGCACUAAGUUUGGGAUAAUACUCUUAAACACAUCAGACAAUUGUACCUUAAGCAUUGAUGACUCACUCCUUAAACAUUAAAUCAGUAUUUAAAUACUAUAAUUCCAUACUGGUGUUGAAUAUAGAAAUAUACGCAUGCUUAAGUCAAAAUGAUCAUAUUGUGCAAAGUAAAAUAGAGUUUUGAUACAAGCAGAUGAUAAACUAGUUCUUUCUGCUACCAUACAUGCCUAUAAGAACUAUCAUGCAUCCAAAUAUUGAAAUCAGUGGCAAUAUUUAUAAAAGCUAUACCAUCUUCAACACAUAUCCAAACAAUAACACACCCAAUCCAAUACCAACAUAUAUCCGAUGAUAUUAAAACAAUUCACAGUACUAUUAACUAUAAUAAAACUAUACAAUAACAGUCAUAUCCUUAAAAUUAAGUCAAACCACCUUAUUGCAUAAUUAAUGAUAUCCACUAGCACAACAAAGAAUAUGACAGUGUCCUUUACCACCAUCAGGUAUAACACAACGCAUAUGACUCGAGAAAUUUAUCCUCUACUUAUUUUACAAAUUUAUUUUAUCUAUGAUACUGCUUGACCCAUAACAAAAGACAUAAAGGAUAUUAAUCAACAUAAACCAUGAUAGUAUACAACCGGUCAAGUAUCAUAUCCAUAAUCAACACACAAGAAGUAAUAUACCACAGAACAUCUAGCAUCAUCAACAAUGUCAGCCCAAACCCAUACUCAUGCAACCACUAAAUUUGUCUAUAGUCUGUUAUCAUUAUUCACCAUAAACAAGUUUAUUAACAUCAGAUUUUAAAUCACCAAACACAACAAAACAAGUAAUUACUUCAUCCAAUUUGUUGUUUCAUAUUUACAUUAAGAACUAGUCUCACUCGUGUAGAACAGAGUCACCAAACCCAAAUAUUCACGCAACAAGUAUGCUAAACUAAAUAACCAGAAUCGAAAUAAAGAAGAGAAGGACGAAGAGGGAAUGUGAUACCUAAAACGGCAGCCCUACAGGUUGAGGCACCGCACACUGAUGAAAGACAAAGGAAACACCCAUUGAUGAAAACAUACGCAGAUGAAAAUGUCUAAGCAGAAAUCGAAGGAGAAGUGCGAUCUAAGCAUAAACGAAUAAGGUCAAAGGAGAAGAAUGAAUUGAUUUUUUUUUUAACAAUCAUAGAUAACACUUAUUAUAAAAAGCGCUA